rnacentral:rRNA from 1 species
CCUACGUGAGGCUGCAGUCGAGAAUCAUUCACAAUGGGGGAAACCCUGAUGGUGUGACGCCGCGUGGAGGAUGAAGGUCUUCGGAUUGUAAACUCCUGUCAAGUGGGAGUAAACCUGCGCGUUAACUGCGUCGCAGUUUGAGCGUACCACUAGAGGAAGAGACGGCUAACUCUGUGCCAGCAGCCGCGGUAAUACAGAGGUCUCAAGCGUUGUUCGGGAUCACGGAGCGUAAGAGGUGCGUAGGCUGCGAAAUCCCGGGGCUCAACCUCGGAAUGGCAUCCGAUACUGCAUUGCUUGAGGACUGGAGAGGAGUCUGGAAUUCAUGGUGGAGCAGUGAAAUGCGUAGAUAUCAUGAGGAACACUAGUGGCGUAGGCGAGACUCUGGACAGUUCCUGACGCUGAGGCACGAAGGCCAGGGGAGCAAACGGGAUUAGAUACCCGAGUAGUC